rnacentral:tRNA from 1 species
UGGCACAGUAGUUAAAGCGCUUGACUGCUAACCAAGAGGUUGGUGGUUUGAACCCACC